AAUAAGUGCAGUUCUGCACUAUUCACGUUCAACGUUUGAUCGUUCGUAUCAUUUGAAAAAAAAUUAUGAUUAGCAUUUUAUUGGUAUUAGAUGAUAAAAUAUGAAUCGUACUUUAUGUGUGACUAAUUUUUUUUUAAUUUUUUUUAUAGUUUUUUCAAAUAAGACGGACGGUCAAACGUUGAACGUGGAUAUCUAUGGCUGCACUUAUU
rfam:Oryza meridionalis cultivar OR44 (W2112) chromosome 1, whole genome shotgun sequence.